rnacentral:rRNA from 1 species
GAUGAACGCUGGCGGCGUGCCUAAUACAUGCAAGUCGAGCGAACGGACGAGAAGCUUGCUUCUCUGAUGUUAGCGGCGGACGGGUGAGUAACACGUGGAUAACCUACCUAUAAGACUGGGAUAACUUCGGGAAACCGUAGCUAAUACCGGAUAAUAUUUUGAACCGCAUGGUUCAAAAGUGAAAGACGGUCUUGCUGUCACUUAUAGAUGGAUCCGCGCUGCAUUAGCUAGUUGGUAAGGUAACGGCUUACCAAGGCAACGAUGCAUAGCCGACCUGAGAGGGUGAUCGGCCACACUGGAACUGAGACACGGUCCAGACUCCUACGGGAGGCAGCAGUAGGGAAUCUUCCGCAAUGGGCGAAAGCCUGACGGGGCAACGCCGCGUGAGUGAUGAAGGUCUUCGGAUCGUAAAACUCUGUUAUUAGGGAAGAACAUAUGUGUAAGUAGCUGUGCACAUCUUGACGGUACCUAAUGAGAAAGCCACGGCUAACUACGUG